AUGAUGUUUGUGUGCCGGGCCAUAUCUAUCACCUCUCUAAGGGGAUGUGUGGCUAGAGGGGGAUUUGAGAUUUCAAAGGGAUUGGGUGGAAGAGGGGGAUUCACCAAAUCCCCUGAAAUCCCCUCCUUCCAAAACCUCCACAAUCCCUUCCUAUCAAAUGAGGCCUUAGGAGUCCGGACAAUAUUGCCAAUGCAUAUGUGUAGUGAACAAGCAAUCAACGCGGCACAUGUGGAAGUUAGGAGAGCUGUGAAUGGCACCGGUCUUGUCAUACUUAUGAGCAGGAGCACGGACCACAUUACUCUUCAUGCCACUCUGAGCAGUCGGCUGCUGCUUGAGAUUGAUUUCCAUGUUGAAGGGAAGGGAGACCUAAUUGAGUUCUUGUAUAUGCAAGGAUAA
rnacentral:rRNA from 1 species